rnacentral:tRNA from 1 species
AGGGAGGGUCCGACCAGCAGGAACUGCUAACUCUUGCAUCUGAGUGUAAAGCCUCAGCCCCCUUA